rnacentral:tRNA from 5 species
GGCCCUAUGGUCAAGCGGUUAAGACACCGCCCUUUCACGGCGGUAACCCGGGUUCGAAUCCCGGUAGGGUCACCA